UGAGAAAAAGGUAUCAGACGGGUCUAAUGCUCUUUGGGUGGAUGACACCUAAAUGAACAUUGGUACAAAGUCCCAAUUUAUUUCUAAUAUCAGAGAUCAGACCUCUACUCUUGCCUGAUGCGUGUAAAACAAAAAGGGGGAACGGCAGAGAGCUGUGUAAUGCCGCGCUUAAAGAUAGAGCUGUUUAGCUCUGCUCCCCAUUUUUUAAGUGGGUUACUUGGUUUGCUGCUUUUCAGCUUCUUUAGUUGUUUAUAUAUACUUGAUAUGAGUCAUCUGUCAGAUAAAGGGUUGGUGAAGAUUCUUUCCCAAUCUGUAGGCGGUAGCUUUGUUUUGAUGACGGUGUCCUUUGCUUUGCAGAAGCUUUUCAGUUUCAUGAAGUCCCAUUUAUUGAUUGUUGCUCUUAGAGCCUGUGCUGUUGGUGUUCUGUUCAGGAAGUUUUCCCCUGUACCAAUGAGUUCUAGGGUAUUCCCCACUUUUUUUUCAAGCCGAUUUAAUGUGUCUGGUUCUAUGUUGAGGUCUUUGAUCCACUUGGACUUUAGUUUUGUGCAGGAUGAGAAGUAUGGAUCUAUUUUCAUUUUUCUACAUGUAGACAUCCAGAAGCACUUAAAGAAAUGCUCAACCUCACUAGCCAUUAGGGAAAUGCAAAUCAAAACAACCCUGAGAUUUCACCUUACACCCAUGAGAAUGGCCAAGAUCAAAAACUCAAGCGACAACACAUGCUGGAGAGGUUGUGGAGAAAGAGGAACCCUUCUCCACUUCUGGUGGGAAUGUAAACAAGUACAACCACUCUGGAAAUCAAUCUGGCGUUUUCUCAGACAACUAGGAAUAGUGCUUCCCCAAGAUCCAGCCAUACCACUGCUAGGCAUAUAUCCAAAAGCGGCUCAAGCACACAAAAAGGAAAUUUGCUCAACCAUGUUUGUAGCAGCUUUAUUUGUAAUAGCCAGAAGCUGGAAACAAACCAGAUGCCCCUCAACUGAAGAAUGUAUGCAGAAAAUGUGGUACAUCUACACAAUGGAAUAUUACUCAGCAAUGAAAAAUAAGGAAAUCAUGAAAUUUGCAGGAUCCAAGAGUUUGCAUAAGGACCACAGAGCAAUGAUUCUGGCUUCAUCCAGGUACAGCUUUUCCUGAUCAAAGUUAUUUCCAGAGGUGUUCAGACCAAAUGUGUUGCGACCCGCGUAAUCGUCUCGCCAGCAAGAACGCACGCGGACAACAGGAUCCUUCUGCAGCAAGCUUUAUUACAAUGAAAAGAGGAAGACCCCGAGCCCCGAAGUGGUGCUGUUUAUAUAAGUCCUGCUCACACCAGAGUGGUGUGAGAUGACGUAUCAUCCCCUGAUUGGCUGCUCACCCAUCACCCCAUAUGACGCCCCGGGCUGGGCUCGUGACUUGGCGCGCCAUUUCUGAAUGGUCAUGCGCUCUAGGAUUUGUUUACCAGUUUUGAGGGCGGAAGCCAGCGCCAUGGCGACCAAACCCCGACUGUCCACACAGAUGACUUUUGAUUUACUUACUUUUCUUUUGGGUGACAGCAUCACAGUGUGUCUACAAUGCCUGGCAGUGGUUGGGUACAGAGGACUUUCUUGGAUCUCUUGAAGAUUUCAGAAAUAAUUCCUGAGAGGAACACCUCAUGUUUUCAUUCUACCUCCCUGAUGAUCCUGCCUUUGUUUCUCUGGUGGGCUCAUAGCUCUUAGACAAAACAACUGGCCAAAGUUUCACAGGAGUUUACUCUAGUUCUUGCUCUUCAAAACUCUUUCAGACUUUUUCCUCCCUCUCUUAUUCCCUUUCCCUUAUUACAACCCUUAUUCAACUGUUCUCUUUCUCAGUUUACUUACAUUCAUUGUUUCAGUGACAAUAUCCAAAUUACCACCAAUGAUAUAUUCAGGUCAAAGCAUUUUUCUGAGCUUUAAAUUCAUAGUCUUCAUUUAUUGCUCAAUCUGUUCAUAUGAAUAAUUCCAAGUCACCUUUAGUUCUAUCCAUCAAACACAACCCAUAAUUGAUAGUUUUGUAACUUGACUCUGUUUCCGGACUUCCAAACACUUAUGAAUGAAUAAUCUACAGAGAUUCUUGAGCUACAGCAUUGGCAACACCCUUAACACCUCUCUAUUUUUCAUUUUUAAUCUCCUAAACACUGACAUACAUCUAUAUAUUAUUAAAUCCUUCUUUAGUCCAUUAAUAUCCAUUAAUAUGUCUUUAAACACCAUGUCUUAUUUUUCUAUGAUAAAACACAACAACCAAACACAACUUGCUGAGGAAAAGAUUAUUUGGCUUAAGCCUCCACAUAAUUUCUCAUCAUCCAAAAAAGUAAGAACAGGAGCCCAAGAAAGGCAGGAUCCUAAAGGCAUGAGUAGGUCAUGCUGAGGUCAUGAAGGGUGUUGCUUACAGACUUGCUCUUUAUGGCUUGCUCAUCUGGUUUCUUUAGAACCCAGGUGUGGCACCCAACCAAAUUGAGUAAGUCUUUCCCCAUCAAUUAGGAAUUAAGAAAAUGUCCUACAGGCUUAUCUUACAACCUUCUUGGUCUUCUCUGGGCAUAGCCAGCAGAGGUGAGCUCAGCUAUGUUUCUUGAGCUCACUUUUCAGGAGAAAGGGCAUGCCUUUCUUAUUAAAGAGGCCUGUGGGAUCCCAGGAACAUUCAGGUCUGCCUGGGGUGCAAGCAGCAGAGGUGAGAAGCAAGCUAUUUCCUGAACACCAUAGUUAGUCCCAAGAUUCUGCCUGUCUCCCCUAGGAGUCCUGCAGCAUUAGGAACAUCCAGCUACUACCAGGGACAAGCAGAUGGUUAAAGGCCAGCCUAAGACCACAAUCAACAAGAGCCAGUGCAAUAUGGCAACAGCAGAUCCGAGCUAUUUUAUUACAACAAGCCCUGGAUAUCUUAACACAGCCAAAGGACAAAAAGAUGAUCUUAACUCUUACCUUAUGAAGAUGAUAGAGGUCAUUAAAGAGGAAAUGAUUAUGUUCCUUAAAAAAUGCAGGGAAAUAGAAUCAAACAGGUGAAGGGAAUGAACAAAACUUUUCAAGAUAUGAAAAUGGAAGUGAAAUCUUAAAGAAAACACAGAGGGAAUCCUAGAGAAGAAAGCCUAGGAAAUAUAUCAGGAACUAUAGGUGCAGACACCAACAGAAUAUACGAAAUGGAAGAGGGAAUCUCAGGCAUAGAAGAUAAGAAAUUGAUACAUAAGUCAAAGAGAAUCUUAAAUCUAAAAGGUUCAUGACACAAAGCAUCCAUGAAACUUUGGACACACCGAAAAGACCAAACCUAAGAAUAAUAGCAAUAGUUGGAGAAGACCCUCAGCAUCAAGACCCAGAAAAUAUUUUUAACAAAUUCAUAGAAGAAACCUUUCCCAACCUAAAGCAAUAUCUGUCUACAUGCAUACAAGAAGGCGACAGAACAUCAAAUAGAUUGGACCAGAAAAUAAAACCUUCCCACCAAAUAAUAAUCAAACCACCAAAUAUACCGAACAAGGAAAUACAAUCAAAAACAUAAAGGCAGACCUAUUAGAAUUACCUGACUUCUUAACAGAGACUCUAAAAUCCAGAAGGGCCUAGGCAGACAUAUUAUAGACUCUAAGAGACCACAGAUAUCAGCCUAGAUUACUAUACCCAGCAAAACUUUUAAUCAACAUAGAUGGAGAAGACAAGAUAUUCAAAGGGAAAAUAAAAUUUAAACAGUAUCUGUCCACAAAUCUAGAUCUACAGUAGAUACUAGAGAAAAACAAAAAAGAUUAACUACAUUCAAUAAAACACAGAAAAUAAAUAACUCCACAUCUGCAAAUCAAAAGAAGGAAAACACAUGCGUGCACACACACACACACACACACACACACACACACACACUGUAUCCUACCACUAUAUAAAGAACAACAACAACAGGAAUUAACAAUCAUUGGUCAUUAACCCCUCUCAACACCAAAUAUCUAAAAAAUGGGUUUUCAAUGUAAAUUAAUGAAAAUACUUCGAAAAGGACAGUUCAUACUCAACAAAGAAAAAACUAAACAAGAUGACAUCUCAAUUUUGACCAUCUAUGUCCCAAAUUCAAGAGCACCCACCAUUAUAAAAGAAACAUUACUAAAGGUUAACUCACACAUCAAACCUUACACAUUAAUAGUGGGGAACUUCAACACCCCCUUCUAUGGGCAGGUCAUCAAGAUAGAAAUUAUACAGAGAAAUAACAAAACUAAUUGACAUAAUGAAUCAAAUGGAUAUAACAGUUAUCUACACAACAUUUCACCCAAACACAAAAGAAUAUAUCUUUUUAGAACCUCAUAGAUUCUUCUCCAAAACUGACCAUAUAGUCACUCACAAAGUAAGCCUCAAGAGAUACAAAAUAACUUAAAUAUCUAUUUGUAAGUUGUCAGACCACUACUGAUUAAAGCUUGACUACAACAAAAAGAGAAACAACAGAAUGACUACAAGCUGAAGGAACGACUCUCUACUCAGUGACCACUGAAUUCAAUGAAAAUGAAGGCAUAGCAUUCCCAAAAUUAUGUGACUCAGUGAGAGCAGUGGUAAAAGGAAAGUUCAUAGCAUCAAGUGCCUUCAUAAAGAAACUGGAGAGAUCUAAUGAUAGCAAUUUAAAAGUACAUCUGAAAGUUCUAGAAGAAAAAGAAGCAAAGACACCAAAUAGAAGUAAAUUGCAGAAAAUAAUCAAACUCAGGUCUGACAUCAAUAAAUUAGAAACAAAGAUAAUAAAAGAAUGAAUCAACAUUACCAAGGGCUGAUUAUUUGUGGAAAUCAACAGGAAACAGUUGCAUGCAUUCUGGGAGUACAUUGAACAUCUUGUGAAUGGUAAAAGGCACUGGAAUUUGGGACAAAAAUCUUUAGUGCAUUCAGAGACAUCUACUGCAGGCACCCUGCAAAUCUGUUUCCAUUACUAGAUUAAGUUUCAAUAUUUGAAAACAUUGCCUUUAGAUAAAUAAGAAGACCCUCCCAAAAGAUGGAAUUUUCUUCUCUAAUGGAAGAAAUAUUGCAGAAUAUUAUUCUCCAGGACACUUUCACUGGCUUAUCUUUGGGAGAAAUGACUGGCAAAACUUUUCUGGUCUUUGGAUAUUUUAAUGUAAUUGUUAGAGAAUGGAAUGUGUGCCAAGGACUGAACAAAGCCUCUGUGUGUCUUCUCAUGCAAUCUUCUAAACCUCUAUAAAGUAAAGUUUGAUUAUGUCUCAUUUCCAUACAGGGAAAUAACAGUGCUUGAAGUAUACAUAGAUAGUUCAAUGGUGACGGUUUAAAACAUUACAGCUCCAUUGACAUCCAUGUAAUUUCCUCUGAUCUUCAAAAACUGGAGGUGGGAAAACUUUUCUUUCCUAGAAAUAUUGUCAUGAAUAAUCAAAGCCUAUGGAAGCCAUUUAACCAAUGACUUCAUUUUAAAAGUGACAAAGACAACUACUUCAAAGUGUCUCUUUUAUUUCAUGAGGCAUAACAUAAACUCCAAUAAUAUAACUGGUUGGACAAUUUAUAGGUUUUUUUCUCAGUGAAUAUUAUGUAUUUUUUUCUUUUAAAAUAACUCAAAUAAUAAAGCUUACAAUAUCUUUCUGUGAAAAAAAGAAAAGAAAAUCAACAAGCUAGACAAACCAUUAGCCCAACUAACUAAAAGGCAGAAAGACAGAAACCAAAUUAUCAAGAUCAGAAAUGAGGAGGGGGACAUAAUAAGAGAUACUGAGCUGAUCCAUAGAAUCAUUAGGACUUAUUCCAAAAGCUUAUACUCCAUAAAAUUGGAAAUUUUAAAUGAAAGGGACAAUUUUCUUGAUAUAUACCACUUACCAAAGUUAAGGUCUGAUAAACAACUUAAAUAGACCUAUAACACUUAAGAAACAGAGCUAGUUGUUAAAAGUCUCCAAAUUAAAAAAAAGCUUAAGCCAAAUGAUUUUAGCACAUAAUUUUACCAGACUUUCUAAUAGCUAAUACCAAUACACCUGAAACUAUUCCACAAUGUAGAAACAGACGAAACAUUGCCAAACUCAUUGUAUUUGGACACAGUUACUGUGGAGAGCAAUGGAUAUUGUUGACUCCAUGUUGAUUUCAGCUUACAGCUUUAACCUUAAGACCUUUUUCCUGUUAAAGCUGCAGAGAACUUGUUCUUAAAGAAGUUACUGCUAAAUGUUUUGAUAAGCACCAAGUUCAUGCUGUCCUGUUCUUGCCACACAGAUUUAUGAUUAGGGGAGUUAGAUUACGGUCUGCUCUUGGUUGAACCUCUAUUCUGGAAAUAAGGAAGCUGACUGUGCUGUAAGACUUAAGCUUCCUCACCCAUUUCUUGCAGCACAUGUGCCUGACUUAGUGGGAUCUGUCAAGAUACCCUGAUGUGUAAACUAUGGAAAGAUUCAACAAAGAAAAGGAAUUUCAGACCAUUUUCCCUUGUGAAUAUUGACUCAAAAGUUCUCAAGAAAAUACAAAUUGGAUACAAGAACAUAGGAGAGGAAGAGGGAAGGUGCUACAGGGAGAUAUUUACAGGACUGCCACAUGGAGAUGGAAAUAUCCACACAUAAGAAAAAUUACACAACCUGAUUUGAUAAACUGGAUGGCUCUUCUCGGAUGAACGUUUUUGACAUCUUAGUGUUGACAUUCAUUGAGCUAUCCAGCUCUGUCUUUGAGACAUGGGAUUGGAAGACCUUAAAGAAUGAGGUAAACUACAGUGUAAUGCUGUAGAGAACUUUUAUUUUUUAAAUCAAGAACAUAUUCAAUUUGGACAAUGUGUCAAGACAUGGUCAAAUUUAGUGUGAAAAGAACUGGAAUGAACUUAUUUUAACCUUGUAAUAAGAAGAUGGUUUCUAAUCUUAA